AGAAGCCGGGUGGGUUGGGUUCAUCAGCCACCUUGUGGCGAGUCCGCCCAGGAAGAUCCAAAUCGAUGUAAAGCCUCAGGAAAACCUCCAAGGCCUAGGAUGUGGGAACUAGGGCGCUCUCUUCCUCGCCCCAGGAGGAGAGCCACCUGAGCGCCAUGAAAGACAGCAGUACAACAAGGACAAGCGUGUGCCCAGCCUGGCUGCCCUUCUCAGCGCAUCCCUGGAGACGGCUAGGCCGCCUCUCCCUCAGGAUCUGGAGGGUUGGUCACUGCCCGCGAUCACCAGUCCAGCCCCACCAGCGCGGUGUGGAGGCGGUGUGUUUGUCCUCACACCCCUGUUUGGGCACUAGGAGGCCCGCCCUGUUUAGCAGUGCCCAUCCCAGAGGGACUGUCCUCUCUCUUCUUCCAAGGCUUUGCAAGGCUUUAGCUAUUUGGAAAAGGAUCUGUUGUUGGUGGGAUCUGGGACUUUCUUCUCUGUAUUUUGAUCACUUCCUUUACCUCUCAAGACAUCCAGUACUCUACCCUCAGGGAGGAGCUUGGAGCUUUAGGCAGCAGGAGAAAAGCCUAGCUCUCACAGUUCAUAGUUUUCUCAAAGUCCAAGGUCCACAUGACAUUGAAUAGAAGGGACGACAAGGCUGUGAGCUGUAGGCUUUCAGAUCAGUCAAGAAGAUGGGUCCCUUCCCUUCGUCACUCUUAGUGUGUGUCCCAGAGCUCAGCUCUGACCCAAAGGCCUUUCCAAUUACCAUCAACAUAGAAACUCGGCUUUUCAUAUGGGUGUAUUCUCCCCCUUUUAUGCACUUACGUACUGUCUUGUUUCUCAGAACUGGCCUCCCACGAAGGAGGCCUGAAGGGCUCUAGAGGCCUGGUCAGUCACCCAGGCCCCGCUAAAGCCCCUCAGCCCUAGGUCGAGUGGAGAGGUUUAAUAAAGACUCCAUGUGCUUUUGACGACUGAAA